UUUCCGUAGGUGAACCUGCGGAAGGAUCAUUAUUGUAUAACCGAGGUGCGAGGGCUGUCGCUGACCCGAAAGGUCGUGCACGCCCGAGGGCCCUCACACACAUCCAUCUCACCCCUAUGUGCACCACCGCGUGGGUCCCCCUUUGGCUUGUUCGGAGGGGGGCUUACGUGUUCAAACAAACUUUGUAUGCAGUGUAGAAUGUAUUUUUUGUUUUUGCGAUCACGCAAUCAAUACAACUUUCAACAACGGAUCUCUUGGCUCUC
rnacentral:misc_RNA from 1 species